GAUGAACGCUGGCGGCGUGCUUAACACAUGCAAGUCGAACGGAAAGGCCCUGCUUUUGCGGGGUGCUUGUGUGGCGAAGGGGUGAGUAACACGUGAGUAACCUGCACUUGUCUUAGGGAUAACUUCAGGAAACUGGGGCUAAUACAGGAUAGGAGCUCCUGCUGCAUGGUGGGGGUUGGAAAGUUUCGGCGGUUGGGGAUGGACUCGCGGCUUAUCAGCUUGUUGGGCGGGUAGUGGCUUACCAAGGCUUUGACGGAUAGCCGGCCUGAGAGGGUGACCGGCCACAUUGGGACUGAGGUACGGACCAGACUCCUACGGGAGGCAAUAGUGGAAAAUAUUGCACAGUGGGCGGGAGUCUGAGGCAGCAGCGCCGCGUGCGGAAUGACGGCCUUCGGGGUGUAAACCGCUGUCGCCUGAGACGAAGCGUUAGUGACGGUAAUGGGUAAAGAAGCACCGGCUAACUACGUG
rnacentral:rRNA from 1 species